UGGUGCACUGCUCUGACCUACUAACCCAGCCUCUACUAACCCUGGUUUUUCUUACUAACCCCGGCCCUGCCGAGCUCUGGGU
rfam:Echinops telfairi cont1.390115, whole genome shotgun sequence.